rnacentral:rRNA from 1 species
AACGAACGCUGGCGGCAUGCCUAACACAUGCAAGUCGAACGAGACCUUCGGGUCUAGUGGCGCACGGGUACGUAACGCGUGGGAAUCUGCCCUUGGGUUCGGAAUAACUCAGAGAAAUUUGAGCUAAUACCGGAUGAUGACGAAAGUCCAAAGAUUUAUCGCCCAGGGAUGAGCCCGCGUAAGAUUAGCUUGUUGGUGGGGUAAUGGCCUACCAAGGCGACGAUCUUUAGCUGGUCUGAGAGGAUGAUCAGCCACACUGGGACUGAGACACGGCCCAGACUCCUACGGGAGGCAGCAGUGGGGAAUAUUGGACAAUGGGCGCAAGCCUGAUCCAGCAAUGCCGCGUGAGUGAUGAAGGCCUUAGGGUUGUAAAGCUCUUUUACCAGGGAUGAUAAUGACAGUACCUGGAGAAUAAGCUCCGGCUAACUCCGUG